CUAGUAAUGGCAGGUCAGCAUACUGCCGUGAAUACGUUCCCGGGCCUUGUACACACCGCCCGUCACACCAUGAGAGUUGGGGAUACCCGAAGCCUGUGAGCUAACAGUAAUGGAGCAGCAGUCGAAGGUAGAAUCAAUGAUUGGGGUGAAGUCGUAACAAGGUAGC
rnacentral:rRNA from 1 species